CCUACGGGAGGCAGCAGUGAGGAAUAUUGGUCAAUGGGCGAGAGCCUGAACCAGCCAAGUCGCGUGAAGGAAGAAGGAUCUAUGGUUCGUAAACUUCUUUUGCAGGGGAAUAAAGUGCAGGACGUGUCCUGUUUUGUAUGUACCCUGAGAAUAAGGAUCGGCUAACUCCGUGCCAGCAGCCGCGGUAAUACGGAGGAUCCGAGCGUUAUCCGGAUUUAUUGGGUUUAAAGGGUGCGUAGGUGGUUUGAUAAGUCAGCGGUGAAAGUUUGCAGCUUAACUGUAAAAAUGCCGUUGAAACUGUCGGACUUGAGUGUAAAUGAGGUAGGCGGAAUGCGUGGUGUAGCGGUGAAAUGCAUAGAUAUCACGCAGAACUCCGAUUGCGAAGGCAGCUUACUAAGCUACAACUGACACUGAAGCACGAAAGCGUGGGGAUCAAACAGG
rnacentral:rRNA from 1 species